AGAGUUUGAUCCUGGCUCAGGACGAACGCUGGCGGCGUGCCUAAUACAUGCAAGUAGAACGCUGAAGAGAGGAGCUUGCUCUUCUUGGAUGAGUUGCGAACGGGUGAGUAACGCGUAGGUAACCUGCCUUGUAGCGGGGGAUAACUAUUGGAAACGAUAGCUAAUACCGCAUAACAAUGGAUGACCCAUGUCAUUUAUUUGAAAGGGGCAAAUGCUCCACUACAAGAUGGACCUGCGUUGUAUUAGCUAGUAGGUGAGGUAACGGCUCACCUAGGCGACGAUACAUAGCCGACCUGAGAGAGUGAUCGGCCACACUGGGACUGAGACACGGCCCAGACUCCUACGGGAGGCAGCAGUAGGGAAUCUUCGGCAAUGGGGGCAACCCUGACCGAGCAACGCCGCGUGAGUGAAGAAGGUUUUCGGAUCGUAAAGCUCUGUUGUAAGUCAAGAACGAGUGUGAGAGUGGAAAGUUCACACUGUGACGGUAGCUUACCAGAAAGGGACGGCUAACUACGUGCCAGCAGCCGCGGUAAUACGUAGGUCCCGAGCGUUGUCCGGAUUUAUUGGGCGUAAAGCGAGCGCAGGCGGUUUGAUAAGUCUGAAGUUAAAGGCUGUGGCUCAACCAUAGUUCGCCUUGGAAACUGUCAAACUUGAGUGCAGAAGGGGAGAGUGGAAUUCCAUGUGUAGCGGUGAAAUACGUAGAUAUAUGGAGGAACACCGGUGGCGAAAGCGGCUCUCUGGUCUGUAACUGACGCUGAGGCUCGAAAGCGUGGGGAGCGAACAGGAUUAGAUACCCUGGUAGUCCACGCCGUAAACGAUGAGUGCUAGGUGUUGGAUCCUUUCCGGGAUUCAGUGCCGCAGCUAACGCAUUAAGCACUCCGCCUGGGGAGUACGACCGCAAGGUUGAAACUCAAAGGAAUUGACGGGGGCCCGCACAAGCGGUGGAGCAUGUGGUUUAAUUCGAAGCAACGCGAAGAACCUUACCAGGUCUUGACAUCCCGAUGCUAUUUCUAGAGAUAGAAAGUUACUUCGGUACAUCGGUGACAGGUGGUGCAUGGUUGUCGUCAGCUCGUGUCGUGAGAUGUUGGGUUAAGUCCCGCAACGAGCGCAACCCCUAUUGUUAGUUGCCAUCAUUCAGUUGGGCACUCUAGCGAGACUGCCGGUAAUAAACCGGAGGAAGGUGGGGAUGACGUCAAAUCAUCAUGCCCCUUAUGACCUGGGCUACACACGUGCUACAAUGGUUGGUACAACGAGUUGCGAGUCGGUGACGGCAAGCUAAUCUCUUAAAGCCAAUCUCAGUUCGGAUUGUAGGCUGCAACUCGCCUACAUGAAGUCGGAAUCGCUAGUAAUCGCGGAUCAGCACGCCGCGGUGAAUACGUUCCCGGGCCUUGUACACACCGCCCGUCACACCACGAGAGUUUGUAACACCCGAAGUCGGUGAGGUAACCUUUUGGAGCCAGCCGCCUAAGGUGGGAUAGAUGAUUGGGGUGAAGUCGUAACAAGGUA
rnacentral:rRNA from 1 species